GACGAACGCUGGCGGCGUGCUUAACACAUGCAAGUCGAACGGAAAGGCCCUGCUUUUGUUGGGUGCUCGAGUGGCGAACGGGUGAGUAACACGUGAGUAACCUGCCCUUGACUUUGGGAUAACUUCAGGAAACUGGGGCUAAUACCGGAUAGGAGCUCCUGCUGCAUGGUGGGGGUUGGAAAGUUUCGGCGGGUGGGGAUGGACUCGCGGCUUAUCAGCUUGUUGGUGGGGUAGUGGCUUACCAAGGCUUUGACGGGUAGCCGGCCUGAGAGGGUGACCGGCGACAUUGGGACUGAGAUACGGACCAGAGUCCUACGGGAGGCAGCAGUGGGGAAUAUUGCACAAUGGGCGGAAGCCUGAUGCAGAAACGCCGCGUGCGGGAUGACGGCCUUCGGGUUGUAAACCGCUUUCGCCUGUGACGAAGCGUGAGUGACGGUAAUGGGUAAAGAAGCACCGGCUAACUACGUG
rnacentral:rRNA from 1 species